rnacentral:tRNA from 1 species
GCGGCUGUAGCUCAGCAGGUUAGAGUGCCAGGUUGUGGCCCUGGAGGCCGUGGGUUCAAGUCCCAUCAGCCGCC